GACAAGGACAAUGGGUCUGGCUUCUGGUCAGUACUUGUUGGACCGAGUCUUAUGUCUUGGGGAGGGUCGGUGCUCUUCACUGGGUGCCGGCCAACACGAACCAAGAAGAUUACUUUGAGUAAAAUAGAGUGUUCAAAGCAGGCUAAUGCUUGAAUACCUUAGCAUGGAAUAAUAAAAUAGGACCUUGGUUCUAUUUUGUUGGUUUACGGACCAAAGUC
rnacentral:rRNA from 1 species